AACACAGUGAAAUGUGAUAAGUAAUGUGAAUUGCAGAAUUCAGUGAAUCAUCAAAUCUUUGAACGCACAUUGCGCCUCUCUGGAUUUUUCCAAGAGGCACACCUGUUUGAGUGUCAUG
rnacentral:rRNA from 1 species